rnacentral:rRNA from 1 species
AUUGAACGCUGGCGGCAUGCCUUACACAUGCAAGUCGAACGGCAGCACGGGAGCAAUCCUGGUGGCGAGUGGCGAACGGGUGAGUAAUAUAUCGGAACGUGCCCGGUCGUGGGGAUAACGUAGCGAAAGCUACGCUAAUACCGCAUACGUCCUACGGGAGAAAGCGGGGGAUCUUCGGACCUCGCGCCAUUAGAUGAGCCUAGGUCGGAUUAGCUAGUUGGUGAGGUAAUGGCUCACCAAGGCGACGAUCCGUAACUGGUCUGAGAGGAUGAUCAGUCACACUGGAACUGAGACACGGUCCAGACUCCUACGGGAGGCAGCAGUGGGGAAUUUUGGACAAUGGGCGCAAGCCUGAUCCAGCAAUGCCGCGUGCAGGAUGAAGGCCUUCGGUGUAACUAGCUUUGUUACGGAACGAAACGGUAGAGCUCUAAUACAGUUUGUCUAAUGACGGUACCGUAAG